rnacentral:rRNA from 1 species
CCUACGGGUGGCAGCAGUGGGGGAUAUUGCACAAUGGGGGGAACCCUGAUGCAGCGACGCCGCGUGGGUGAAGAAGCGCCUCGGCGCGUAAAGCCCAGUCAGCAGGGAAGAAAAUGACGGUACCUGAAGAAGAAGCCCCGUCUAACUACGUGCCAGCAGCCGCGGUUAUACGUAGGGGGCAAGCGUUAGCCGGAUUUACUGGGUGUAAAGGGGGCGCAGACGGCGAUGCAAGCCAGGAGUGAAAGCACGGGGCCCAACCCCGGGACUGCGCUUGGAACUGCGUGGCUGGAGUGCAGGAGGGGCAGGCGGAAUUCCUGGUGUAGCGGUGAAAUGCGUAGAUAUCAGGAGGAACACCGGUGGCGAAGGCGGCCUGCUGGACUGCAACUGACGUUGAGGCCCGAAAGCGUGGGGAGCAAACAGGAUUAGAUACCCUUGUAGUC